rnacentral:tRNA from 1 species
ACAGUCGUGGUCUACUGGUUAGGCCUUUGGGCUUGGAACCGAAAGGGUUACCGGUUCGAUCCCCGAUCAGUGGG